AAAAAGGAAAAGGGUCAAACCAUAUCUUACUUAAUAAUCUGACUGAAUGACGAAGAGCUCUUUAUGUGGUCUCACUUUACCACCAUCUGAAAUGCGCGAAACUUCGAUUGGUGGAAGCCAGUCCAUGAAGAUUCUCCCUUUUCCUACGUGCACUUCCCCUCUUUUGGUAAGCAUCCAGUAUCUCAGCAAAUGAACAUUUCUCUAAGCUUAUCCUAUAGCUUAUACGUCGUUUGAAAGCUGCUUCAAGGAUCCAACGAAUAGCUAAGGUUUGUUGACGAUCCCUGGCUACAAUCCCAGGGACAUCAUAAAUAGUACCCGCUACUCCUACUUUUGCUACUUCGCAUAUGGGCUUUAUAUUCUCUACGGCGUCAACCAUAAGUUUGAUUACAUCGCGUUCAGUUCGAGCUGGGCGAUGAAAAGUUUGAUAAACAAUAGCACGAACUCUCGUUCUUUUACCUUCUUUCAUGCGAAAAUUGACCAACUUCUUGAUCAAUAGUUUUUGCUCACCAUCCAAGCCCCCCAUAUAGCUGAAAAUUUCCGAGCAAUUGGAAGCCGCUUUCGAUGACGAGGCCGAUAAAUUUAUAUUACGCAAUCGUUACUGUCCAUCUUUAUCAGCCAACUCCCCAGUUUCUAUCUUUCCUUUUAGAGUUUACCACUCUUCAUAGCUUCUUGAACUUUCUUUAGGGUCUUGCUCCCUGAGUUCCAGAGUCUACACUCUCGCGUCAUAUGGCUCCGCCCCGGAAUCAUUUUAUACCUCUUCUUUUAGUCGAGUUUGUUUCACAACCUCUCCCAACAAGUGGUCAAGUUCCUUUGUACCUUUCCUUUGACCAAGGGGUCCUCGAACCAACCUGUCCUCCCUCAAUCUCCAAGAAUUACCCUCCCACGCUAAAAAAAAGUAGCAUUUCCUGGACGUAGGUAGAGUCAAACUCUUCUAAAUAUAUAGACUGGAUUCCAUUUAGAUAUAAGUCAUCAUAUAUAUAUAUAUAUGAGUUCAGACAUAUCUGAAUCGUCCACGAGGACGAAAUUGACUAUAUCCAUCAUAGAAGAAAGUGGAUUUGGGGGGG
rnacentral:sRNA from 1 species